GCGUUCUGAGCAUUUCCUGAUAACAAUGGCUCGCUGUGCCGAAAACCAACAAUGUGGUUCAUGGUGAACAUCUGCUUUUCUUCUGGGAACGCGAAAUUUCGGUACAUGUGAAGUAGGUGGUACCCACAUGAUUCCAAGCCUCUUAAGUUGGAAAAGCCCUCUGAGCGACUGCAUGAAGUGACACCAGCACCUGCUUACAAGACUUCAUGGGCUUCCAAUCAACAGCUUCCACCUUCAUGGGAGACCCCAAGUGUUGCCUUUAAAAAUUCUCACUUUGCAAACCAUCAGAGAGUUCAGGAUUUUAGGGCAUUAGCUCCCUGUCCCCCUGUGUGGUGCCACCCUAGUAAAUAGUUUGUCUUUCUCCACUGCAAAA